GACCGCCAGUGAAAAUCGAUUUUCACUGGCGGUCGGCGUAAUAAAACCGCCAGUGAAAAUCGAUUUGCACUGGCGGUC
rnacentral:pre_miRNA from 7 species